rnacentral:lncRNA from 1 species
GGCAACCCAGUAAGAGAGAAAGGGUCCUGAGAAGAGGCAAGAGAGUCAGAAACACCUGCGUUCCCACUGUAAGGAGUCCCACAAAACCACGAAGCUACACAACGAGAACUUAUAUGCAGAUGACCUAACACAGUCUCACGAUUAUAGCUUCAAUUUCUGCAAGCACAUAUGAUCCUUGCUUAGCUGAUACUGUGAGCUGUGUCCUCAAGGACUUAAGGACCAAUCUGACUCCUGAAAUCCUUCUUCCCACUUUCCCUUUGAGUCUUCUGAGCUCCACCUAAGCAUUAAGAGGGGCUGGAUGCCUAUAACAGAAGCAGAGGGCAUGUCCAGAGUCAAUGGAAGCAGGAAAAUGGAAGCUUGGUAAUUCUCUUCACCGAAACAAGUCUGUAAUAGCAAGCAAAACUGAAAUCCAUUAUGGUGGUGAGAAAGCUCAGCAUGAAGAGGCAUUUGCUGCCAAGUCUGACCACCAGUGAUUGAAGCCUGGAACUGGAAGGUGGGAGGAGACACCUGACUCCUGCAGGUUGUCCUCUGACCUCUACAGGUAUACUGUGGCAUGCAUGGACCUACAUGGAUGCUGCCAAGAAUGUUAGCACCAUCUUCUAGGCUCCACCCAGUGGUUACCUAGCAACAUCCAGACCAGGUUAGGCUGCUUUACUCGUGAAGAGGAGAGUAACAGCUGAAGAUUCUUAUUGCCAAGAUACCAAGGAGGAAAGUUCUUCUCACCUGAAGUUUCUGGCUUGCUGUUUCUGAGGAGAUCUGAAGUCAGCCACACAACCAGGAGAAGCAGAACAAGCUUGUAACAGACCCUUUCUACACUCCUAUUGCAGUCACAAGAAGGAAAUUAACUGGGCUGCUAACAAGCAGAGAACAAUGAUCAAAAAGUUGUGAGGGACUCCAUGCUUACCCUGAAUCAGCCCUUCUGAAAAAAACAGAUAAUAUAUCUGUUACAAAGAUAAACAAAACCUAAUAAGAGGAGAUGGAAUGGAAGGAGAUGCUGGUUUUUGUUUUUCUGAUAAACCUUUAGAAAAAGUCCAGUUGGGUGUGUCUAGUGUUUUUUAAAUAAAGCAAUUUUAUAAA